CAGGUCAGGCAGGGCUAUACAGAGAAACCCUGUCUCGAAAAACAAACAAACAAACAAAGACACAGUAGAACCUGACUGGGCACCGCUCUUCUUUCCAACCCUUCACCAUCCCUAUCCCUCUGCACUAUCGGGUAUGGAGAGGUGGGGGCCCCUCUUCUUGGUAACUCUGUUUAACCCUAGAUAACUGUUCUCCUGCUCCUCAGCUGGCGCUGAUAUGAGCUGAAUCCAAUUUCCUGCCACCCAAAAGCCACUUCCUGCCAAACUUGAGCUGAUACCAGAAGAACUUGUUUUCUGUACACAGAGCAGUCCCUGGUGGGGCUGCUUCUGCCUCGGCCAGUCCACCUGGUAGGACUGGGUUGUGGAGGAUGGGGCCUCUGCCCUCUCACCUACUGCACCCACCUGUACCGCCAGCCAUCCCAGCCAGGAGUCCCACUGGACUCAGACAGGCAUGUUUAGGCCAUGGCACAUAGCCACAAAGAGCCAGUCUGAGAGCACUGUGUGUGGGCAAGACCACAGGAAAGGCGAGUGACCGUCAACAAAGGAAUACACGCACAGUUCCAUACACCAACCCAUGACCAUACGGAGUCACAGGACAGUCUCAUAUAAUUAAAUGCAGUCACACCCACGGUGCAUAGAACCAGAACCCUUUGCUUCAUACACACGCACCGAAAGCGAGCAUGAGUGUCUGCCUGGGCAGGGCCUUGGGCUAACCCUCGUCAGAACAGCUGGAAUCAUACCAUCAUUGUGCACACAUUACAGAUGUGUAAGCCAAGGCAGCCCAUAGGGGCACCUUCCACACACAUACUGCUUCCUCAGCCUGGGGUGCCUUCUGGCUUAUUCCUUUAGCACUGUCUAGUCACGUGACUCUUCCACAAACUCAGGCAGUCCCUGCUCACUUCCUCAGAGUCUGGGUCAUCUCCCUUUCACUUUAAGGGACAAAGGAGACACAGCAUUUUGUUGGCUUCAGCCAUGUUCUGUUCUGUGGCACAGAGAACAUGCUCAGGAAGAGCCUAGUAAGGACAGACCCUGGACUGGAACCCAGGACACCCUGAGGCUGGAGCUAAUUUCUGUGUUACUGUGCUUUUCAUACUUCCAGAAGCCCCUUUAGCAAUGGUGAUGGAUGAAUGAAUGAAUGAAUGAAUGACCCAAACUCUCAAGAUACCAGGCCAGUGAUCCCCAGGCUAACCUCCUUCAUUUCCUGGCAGUGUGGACAGGAGCCAAGCUCCAGGCCCCUUGGAUAGUGGCAGGGCUGACGGCCGCCUAAAGCCGGCUGUCAGAAGCUUGUCUGGCCAGAGCUGCCAGCAGGGGAGACCAGCUGGCAGUGCAGGGUCCAUCGGCCCAGGCCUGGAAUCUGAGACGCCCUCAGAGGCCCAGCUCUUCUUUGGGCCCCCACAAACUGGCCUUUGUUCUUGGGCUAGCCAAGACCGGCAGCUUGGGCUUUCUCUCUGCCUGCCUGCGGCACCCGCGCUGCGCUGGCGAGGUAAAUGGGCCAGCCUCCCCUCUGUCCACGUCCAGGACGUUGCUUCAGAACUAAAUGGAGAUGUAAUUUUCUAUACAAAUCCAUGACAAUUUAGAUGGAGUGAUUGUAAUUGGCUUUUCAAUGGAGGUUUUGUCCGGCGCUGGUGGCUAGAACUGGGUGGCCUGUUUGAGGCAGGCUCCAUUUAAAUGACAAUAAAGCCAUAAUAUUGAGGACUUGUCCAGCGCCCAGUGCCCCUCCUGAGCCCUUGGGGAGCCUCAUGUUUAUGGAUCUGUCCCUUCCCUAGGGCUGUCUGGGCAGGAGGGUGCUGGGGUCACCGUGGCUAGGAGAGGGGUUGGCUGCAUAUUCGGGACCAUAUCCCCCAACUACCUACCAGUUCCCUCAAUUUGUUAUGAACCCACUAGCCAGUCUGUCCAGGGCUGGAGGCUAGCCCUAGUGUUGGGGUGCUAAUAAUCUCCCAGGUAAGUCAGCUGGAAGGUUCUGCAAUGCCUCAAUAUGUCAUGGUGUGGUACACAUGACCAGGCCCUCUUUGGCCCACAGGCCAAGGCCUGACCCUCUUGUGACUGGCUUCUUGAAUGUCUGUACCUCAGUGUCUCAGCCCUGCGGUAGGGUGCGGUAGACAUCCCAGAGGGGACAGCAUGCACAUGGGCUCAACCUGGCAUGUGAAAGGUACUAUAUAUAAUCAUUGCUGGGACUCACUCACUGUGCCCGCUCAGGCAGACUGGCUAGUGACUUCAGGCUCUGCAAAUUUCCACUGGCUUCUCUUUAACAAAGGGCUUUUCUAGGAGUUGACCCCACCAGGUUCUGAAGAUUAAUGCUAGGGUGUGUUCAAGCACCUAACACAGGCCAGGCUCCAAGAAUGACAGUUCUCCUCACUACAGUUUCCGCCUCCAGCAGCAUCUAUGGAGAACUGCACUUGAGUGUGCAGACCCCACAGCAUGAGAACCAAGCUGACAGGAGCCCCCGUGGGGAUGUCUCUGCUGCCUAAAGAUGCUAUGGGAAGGACUGAUCUCGAGGAGGCUGCACGAAAGAAGGCUUCACAGAGGAUGUGAUAACUGCCUGGACCACUCUGCCAACCAAAAAAGUGUCUACAUUUACCAGGCAGAUGCUGUAACCUGGUUACCAGAAGGAUCUAUUCUCACCUGUCAGUGAGGUGUGGUGGCCACAAAGAUGCCAUUAAAGUGACAUGUUUAAGUCACUCUAGAAGGCAAGCUGCCUAGGCAAAAGGCUGGUAGGUGGGAAGGGAGCUGCCAUCAUUGAUAGCAAUAAGUGGGGUAGCACAGAAGCUGUGCUCAGCGUGUAUGGAGACCCUGACUUCCAGUGUCACAGGCAGCCAUAGAGAAAGUUUAAGCAGGUAGUGACACAAUCCAAAUUCUUAUUAUUUAUCUAUUCAUUCGGGGAGGGUGUCACAUUUUCUGUCAGAGUGACCUAGGACUCACUAUUUAGCCCAGGCUGGUUUGGAACUUGUAGCAGUCCUCCUGCCUCAGCCUCCCAAGUGUUAAGUGUGAGCCAACAGAACCCUUCUGACUGCUCAUAGAGACUGGGCUAUGGAGAAAGGGAUAAGGAAGAGAGCGAGGCUUUAGAACCAUGAGUAGAACCCCGGGAGAAAGGAAGGGCUGGCUCUGAGAAACACAGACAGUGGGUAAGGGAGGGGUAAAUGAGAAGGCAGGAAUGUGGGCUGUGGCAGCAGGUGGGGAUGCCAGCACCAGGAGACGUGUGGCCAUCGAGGUGGGAGCGGAGGCUGCUAGAAUACAAGCAGAGGUGGUGGGAAGGGACAGUGGAAAAGAGGUGAGGGCCAGCCCCCGCAUCCCCACCCCCACCCUUCCCACCCCCAUCCACACCAGGCCGGGACUAGGGCUUUUUUGCCUGAAGGCAAUGGAGCUUGCAUCAACAACAAUUUUCUUCAGGCAGGAAAAGACCAUGCUGAGAUUUGUGAGUUUUGAAAGAUCAUUUUGGCGACAGGGUAGAGGGUGGGAAGUGGCAGGUGGGCGAGGCUGGAAGGAGAGAGCAGACAGAGGCAGAGGGGCACUCAGAAGCCUCAGGAACACCCGGGACACCUUCCAACUCCAAGAGUAAAAAACUGCUUUCUCAAAGAGGACUAAAACUAGUGCAAGUUCAGACAGCAAGUCAACACCCUGGAGUUCACUUGAGCUGUCAGUCCCGGAACUACUAUGUCACCAGGAGGUGGCACUGUGAUCAUUCCCAUUUUCCAGAUGAGGAACCAGGAGCUCUUCAGUUCUGUCACUCGCUCACACAGGGACACUCAGCUGGGACUUGACCCAUACACACCAGAAGCUAACCAGGAGGCCACAGACCCAGUGGGGGCUAUGGACAUGUUUCAGGGACCUGAACCUCCAGGCCCUCAGGCUACUCUGCUGGCUCCCACAACUGCCACCUUGGGACCAAGGCAAAUCUGACAUUCCAACUACCCCACCCUGCUGCACCACAAGAGGAUGUUCGAGCCUGACAUUAUGGAUGCGAUAUGCCACCAAACUGCCUUCUAAACAUGUGUUUAUGCCUACGUCAUCAGCUUCGUGACUGGGUGAAGCAUCUGACAACAUGUGGCUGUUACUGUGGCACUACGGCCCAUCUCUUAGCCCUAAGUGGACACCUAUAGUCAACCCCUCCAAGGCUCAGAAAUCAUUGCAGAAGACAGAGGCAGGAAGAAUAUAAGAGCUGGACAACUCAAAAUUGCUCCAGGAAGUCCCUGAAACUGAGCAGAUGCACUAGGUCCCUCCCUGCCAGAGUAAACAGUGAGCUGAGAGCCCUUCUCUGAUGGAAGGAAGCUGAGCUGCGGAAACCUCCCAGUUGCCUAGAAGAGGUUUAGAUCAACUGAAGCACCUAGAAAGGACACUCUCCAACCUACUGAGUUGUCUGCAGGCUGUGCCCCAGGUUCCCAGCAUUGUGAGCUGUUACCCAUGCUAGGGUUGGUUUUGGUGAUGCAGCUGUCUGAGUCCUUUCUGCUCCUGUGAGUAACUCACCCAUGUUACUGUACCACAAUUCCAAUAAAACUCAUUGGUUCACCAAAGGGACUUUGGUGGUACCUGUACUUGGGUCUACCAUGGGUUCCCUGUCGGGGUGAAUAGAUUAGAUGUGUGUGUUACAUCUCUUCCAGAAAACGUUUGUCACACAUAUCACUGUGUCUGAACAAAGCUAUCCCUCUGCAGACCAUUCAAAUGUCCAUUUCCCUGGAAGGCAACACACACACACACACACACACACACACACACACACACACACAUGCGCAUGUCUCUCUCUCAUACAUUCUCUCAUACUCGGCCCCCAUGUUUUCCCUUUUAUUCCCCUUGGUGCUUUUCCAACAGGGACAGUGAGGGGGUCAGUGCUCCUCAUAACCCAGAGAGCAGCACUCACAUGAGGAGGCUGAGGCACCGAGAAGGGAGACACUGACUGAGCCACAGCUGAACACAGUCUUGCCUGACUUGAAGUUAUACUUCUAGGCUGGAGUAUGGCUCAAUUGUAGAGCACAAUUUGUGUGCUCACAUAAGUGUGAUCUCCAACUCCCAGGCACAUCUCCCUUGUGGGAGUUAGUUCAGAAGUGGCCAAGGCCCUCUGAAGACACAGAGACUGAAUGGAGGUGGUCAAAAGUCAAGAGCCCACAGACCAUGUGACCUUGUAAGGUAUGGAUUUUCACUCUGGCUUUCAGGAUCAUUGUUCAGGGUCCAGGUACAUGUAUGCAUGUUUGAUACAAGCCAGCCAGUGCAGUCAGUGAUGGCUUACAUCUUAGACAGGUGGUUGGUGGUGACAGUUGGUGCCUCAUGUCAGUAGAGGGAAACAUGGCAUCAUGUCCAAAGGCAGACACUCUUAGAUGGAGUAGUUCUACCUCUCAGUAAGCGCACUAGUGUGGAGUGGACAUCUAUAUUCACAGACGUCCACUGAAGUCAUGUGAAAGCAAAGUACUGGAAGGAUUUGGAAUGUCUAUCAAUGGAAAAUGGGGUAAAUAAAUUAUAGUAUGUCCAUAAAGUUGAAUAUUAUGCAGCUAUAAAAAAGAAUGAGACCGUCCUUUUAUGCUCUUACUUGCUCUUGUGCCAACAGUGCACAGAUUUACUGCUUAGGAGAAAAGACAACCAGAAGAAUGCAGAGACUAAAACUCUUAGAAGAAAACAGGAAUGAAUCUUUGUGAUUAGGCAAUGGUUCUUGGAUGUGACACAAGAGUAAAAACAACAGGAAAAAUCAGACAAAUUGGACCUAAUUAAAAUCUGAAAUAUUUGUGCCUCAGUGGACACUGUCAAGAAAUUAAAGGCAGGACACAGGAGGUUGAGUCAUGGGACUCACAAGUCCAAGGUUAGCCUGCAUGGUGUGUGUGUUGACUCUGCUGAGACAAAGACACAGACACAUACAUACAUACAGACAGACACACAGAGACACAGACACACACACACACACACACACACACACACACAGACACAUACACAGGCAUACAGACAGACAGACAGACACACACACACAGAGAGAGAGAGAGAGAGAGAGAGAGAGAGAGCGCAGGAUGACUCAGGUGGUAAAGACACCUGCUCCCCAGGUGUCUUUACCACCUGAGUCAGGUGUGGCCUGAGUUGAAUCCCCAGAACCCACAUGAGAACCAACUCCCACAAGUUAUCCUCAUGUUCCCAUCCACACCUACACAAAAUAAAUGAAUGUUAAAAAAAUUUUUUUAAACCUGCCUGAGAAACUUACUGAGAUCCUGUCUUUAAAAAAGGUGGGGGGAAAGGAGGCCAGGAGGUGAUGACACACGCUUUUGAUCCCAGCAUUUGGAGGCAGAGGCUGGUGGAUUUCUGUGAGUUUAAAGCAAGCCUAAUCUACAGAGCAAGUUCCAGGACAGCCAGGGCCACACAGAAAAACCUUGUCUCAAAAAGGAAGUUAAAAUUCCACCAGGAUGAACCUCUAUGUCUCAGUGGUAGAAUGCUUGCCUAUCAUGUACAAGGCCCUAGUUCAACCCACAGCACUGAAAAUAGAAAAACAGGGAGAAAGAGAAAAAGACAGGAAGGACUGGACAACUCACAAACUGGAAGAAAAAUUCACAAAUAGUUUAUCUGAGAGGGACGUGUAUCUAGAAUGGGUGAAUGCUCUCACAAUUCACCAGUAGAUGACACAAUUUUCUUCGUUUUGUUUUAAUGAGCAGAAGAUAUGAGCAGACCUUCCUCUAAAUCAAGCAUACAAAUGACCAAAAGACUGUCAGCAUCACCAGCUACCAGGGCAGGGCACAUCAAACCCACAGUGAGAUGCCUCACACUUCGAGGAUGGUCUAAUCCAAACAGUGGGGAAUAACAAGUGUGGUCCAGGAUGCUGAGCAAUUCCAGCCCUUCCAUGGCUGUGAUGCUAAGAGAAUGAGAAGGUCAAGUCUUUGGAUGCUUGAACAUAGGUCAGCCGUGGGACCUUAGCAAGUCUAUUCAGAGAACUGCACACUAGAAUGCACAAGACUGUUCACAGCCAUAUGGCUUAUGACAAGCAAAAUAUGAGAAUAGCUUGUGUCCACCAACGGUUAAAUAAAAUAUGGUAUGCCUAUAAAAUGACAUAUUACUUGGCAAUAGAAAGGACUCUGUAACAUAAAGAACCCUAAAAACACAAUAGAAAGAAGACUGUCACAAAAGAACAUCUACAGCGUGACAAGGGAGGUCCUCAGGGACAGGAAACAGAUUAAUGGCUGACAGACUGCAGGAGGGGCCCAAGAACAGCAAGUGGUUGCCCUAGGGGUGUAGGAGUGUUUCUGAAGUGGUGAAGGUGUGCUAAAAGUUGGUUGUGAUGUGACUCAGAAUAGUAAACACCACUCACGUGCACUUGAAAUGGGCGAACUGUCUAGCAUGGCACAUAUAUAGACAACAUAGUUUGUGUAAAAAAUAAACCAGAAAUGUCAAGAUGACUUAGUAGGUAUAGGUACUUACAACCAAGCCUGAAGACCUGCGUUUCAGCCCACAUGGUUCAGAGAGAACGAACUCCCUCAAGUUGUCUUCUGGCUUCCACAGGCAUACACAAUGGCACACGUGUCCACACACAUAUACACACACGAGCACUAAAUAAAUAGAUGCAGCUUUUUAAAUAGUAAGAAAAAAAGAGAAGAACCAAACCUAGAAACAUCCUUGCCUGUGUAUGCAUAUAUGUAUGUAUGUAUAUAUGUAUGUAUGUAUGUAUGUAUGCAUGCAUGCACGCAUGAAUCAUCUCUACAGGGACCAAGAUGGCCUUGGGGGCCCUGGGGAAGAACAGGAGCAGGAGCAGGAGGUGACCUUGUUUGUCACUGUAUCUGAAUUGGAUUUGUGAGAUAAAGAAAUUCUAGUACAUUUGGAAAUGUUACUCUUUGGAGAAAAAAAAAAAAAAAAAAA